CCUACGGGGGGCAGCAGUGAGGACUAUUGGUCAAUGGACGAGAGUCUGAACCAGCCAAGUAGCGUGAAGGAUGACUGCCCUAUGGGUUGUAAACUUCUUUUAUAUGGGAAUAAAAUGUUCCACGUGUGGGAUUUUGUAUGUACCAUAUGAAUAAGGAUCGGCUAACUCCGUGCCAGCAGCCGCGGUAAUACGGAGGAUCCGAGCGUUAUCCGGAUUUAUUGGGUUUAAAGGGAGCGUAGGUGGAUUGUUAAGUCAGUUGUGAAAGUUUGCGGCUCAACCGUAAAAUUGCAGGUGAAACUGGCAGUCUUGAGUACAGUAGAGGUGGGCGGAAUUCGUGGUGUAGCGGUGAAAUGCUUAGAGAUCACGAAGAACUCCGAUUGCGAAGGCAGUUCACUGGACUGCAACUGACACUGAGGCUCGAAAGUGUGGGUAUCAAACAGGAUUAGAUACCCGGGUAGUC
rnacentral:rRNA from 1 species